rnacentral:rRNA from 1 species
AGAGUUUGAUCCUGGCUCAGAACGAACGCUGGCGGCAGGCCUAACACAUGCAAGUCGAGCGCACCUUCGGGUGAGCGGCGGACGGGUUAGUAACGCGUGGGAACGUGCCCAGAUCUGCGGAAUAGCCACUGGAAACGGUGAGUAAUACCGCAUACGCCCUUCGGGGGAAAGAUUUAUCGGAUUUGGAUCGGCCCGCGUUAGAUUAGGUAGUUGGUGGGGUAACGGCCUACCAAGCCUACGAUCUAUAGCUGGUUUUAGAGGAUGAUCAGCAACACUGGGACUGAGACACGGCCCAGACUCCUACGGGAGGCAGCAGUGGGGAACCUUGGACAAUGGGCGCAAGCCUGAUCCAGCCAUGCCGCGUGAGUGAUGAAGGCCUUAGGGUCGUAAAGCUCUUUCGCCAGGGAUGAUAAUGACAGUACCUGGUAAAGAAACCCCGGCUAACUCCGUGCCAGCAGCCGCGGUAAUACGGAGGGGGUUAGCGUUGUUCGGAAUUACUGGGCGUAAAGCGCGCGUAGGCGGACCAGAAAGUUAGGGGUGAAAUCCCGGGGCUCAACCCCGGAACUGCCUCUAAAACUCCUGGUCUAGAGUUCGAGAGAGGUGAGUGGAAUUCCGAGUGUAGGGGUGAAAAUUCGUAGAUAUUCGGAGGAACACCAGUG